rnacentral:lncRNA from 1 species
UUUCACUGAUUGGGAGAGCAGAUGUGUUACUGGCAAAGAUACAGUGAUCUGGAAUCACCUGCAGGGGAAAAGCAUUUAACAAUGUGUCAGGUGGUUGGAUGAGAAACGUGGAAGGGACACCUGUCAAAUGUGUGCAAAUCUGGAACAGGCAGAAUCCUAACAGAGAUGAGAAUCAAGGAGGAAGACACAUUCAACACACUGAAAAGCUGAGUACAAAAUAAGAUUAUAAUGCAA